UAUAACUAGAUUUUAUCUUUUAUAUAAUUUAAAAUUUAAAAUUAAUGAUUAAUAGAAUAAUAGAUAGCUUAAAGGCACGUUAACCGGGCCUUCUAUAAAUAUUAAAUACUCCCACACAGCAGCAGUUAGCGGAAGUCAGCUUAUUCUUAACUUUAUUGACCGGUUGCCGGUUUCAGCCCAGCCUUGAUUUCCUCUGCCUUUUGCUCUCUCCCAAUCACUGCUCCCAUUUUUCAUUUCUUCAGUUCUAUACAUAUUGUGCUUCAAAUUUUAUCUCUAUAUUUCCUAUGGCUUCCAUGAGAACUCAAAGGAGGGUCUACGUCAUCACCAUCAUCUUCUUCUUCUUCAACACCUCAGUCUCAGUGGAAAUACAAGGUGUUUCUCAGUUUUUGAAAAAAACUUUUGUUGAACCCAAAAAAUGUGGAGAGCUGCUUUGAGAGAGGUGGCCAAUCACUCUGAUUAUAAUUGACAUGUCUGCAGAUGAUGAUGCCAAUGUUCUUUUCAUACCUUGAUUGACUGUAAAAUAGGGAGGAGGAUUUUCAUGGGAUGAAUUUCAAUUGAGGCUACUGAUAUUGAAUGUGCACAAGCAUUUCUGUCAAUCUAACUGUGUUUUUUCUAUUUCUUUUUUUUGGAUAAAAAUCUUGAUAUGUUGUAAUGAAUUUUUAUAUUUUGAUGAUUUGGAAAUGUAUUCUUGUGACAUAUCCUUCUUUCAUAA